rnacentral:lncRNA from 1 species
AUUAUUAUUAUUGUAUUUGUUGUACCAAUAAUUACUUUAUAUGACAACCUUUGCCACUGCUAUUUAUUUUGGGCCACUAACAAAUAAUAGGCCCAAUCCAAAUUGACCCAAAUAAGGGAGUCCAUACCCGAAAUUUCCUUGCCUAUUUUGGAUUGUGAAGUUGCAGCUAGGGUUGACAGGAGCAACAAGGAGCAAUUGGAGCAGUCAGCCAUAUUGGGAGUUCAACCAGCAGCAGAAUUGAGACAAGGUAAGUGACUUAUGUUUUCUAUAUUUCGAAGCUCUUCUUAAACCCAUGAUGAACUUCAAAUUCUAAUCUUUUUAUAACACAACUUCUAUAAUAUAUAUCAAAGCUAUUUGCAUAGAAA